rnacentral:lncRNA from 1 species
UUUAUUUUCUUUUUCUUUUCUUUUUUUGUGGAAAAUAAAGCUCCAACUCAAUUUAAUUAAAAAAAUUGAUAAAGAUUUAAAUCAAAGUCAAUAAUUAUUUUUAAUUUUAUAUUUUCUAAGAUUCACGACUUUUAUUGACUUUCCAAUUAUAAAUUUCAUUAAGUUUUAUUGCACAUAGAUUCUUCAAUAUUUUUCAUUGUAUCACUUACAUUCCUAACUUUUUCAAUCCAUUCUUAUUUACUAACUCUGAGUAGUUAACAUAUCUUGCAUUUAAUAAUGGUUAUGGGCCAAAAAUCUGUUGGAAUAUUGAGUAUUGAAAAAAGGGAAAAAAUCAUAUAUACCUUACUUAUAUAAAAAAUUUCAUAUUUUACUGCUAUGACAAAAUAAAUACUGAAAAAACUACGUAAACUGAUUAAAAAUACCAAAAGUACUAUAUUAUAAACUUUCCUAAAUUUCAUAUGUAACUAAAAUGCUGAACAUAAUUCAAGGAGAAGGAAUUAAUUGAAAGUGUUGAGAAGGUGCCAAUUCAAAUACAAAAUCAAUCUUGUGGUGUCGUGACAUCAAAAAUGGGGAUAUGAACAAUCAUACUUUGAUGAUGAAGAUUUUAGCAGUUGGUAAUAUAAAAAAAAAAUCGGUAAAUCUCCUGAUCUUAUUCAUUGUCUAUUUAUUGGAUAUGAUUCCAUAUUCAACAUCACGUUCUGCAUUGCCAUAUUUCAUAUCAUGUGUAAUAUAUGCAAUUAGGAUUUUAUCUUGUUCAUUAAUACUUCCUCUCAUAAAAUAAAUAUGCAGUAUUACAUUUUACACAUCAUGAUUUUGGGGAGUAGGUUACCAAUAUUAAUUGCAUAUAACUAUUGAAUAUAAAAUCCUAUAUAAGAUAUCAAAAUGAACAAGAUGUGCAUCAUAUAAUGGGUAAUAUAACUAUUUUGAUAAAAAAAAAAAAUAAAGGUUAAAGGUAAUGGUAUUAUCAUAUGCAUCUUCACUUUUGGAGAAAUAUAUUUGAAAGAGAACUUAUGCUGUAUUUAAUGAUUAUGAUUUUAUUCACGAGAAGGCUAAUCUUUUUUAUUCCUCUAUCUGAUUCUUCUCGAUUGGUACGUGUCUUUCAUAGAAAAUUUUCUUUCUUAUGGAAUUUAAUUGAAGAACAUCAUGAUCGAGCUGAUAUAUUUUGUUCAUUUCAGUGUUUUACAUUUAAUCAUGAAAUAUUAUUAAUUGGAUUCUGCAAUGUACACACUAAUUAUUGGUCCUAAAUUUCACCCCUCUUUCAUUUGGAAAAUAGCAUGUCUUGAAGAUGGUUUUGAUCGAGUUUCAUUCCAUGGAUUACAUUGAUUAUAUAUAUUGUGCCUAUGCAUAAAAAAAAAGAAAGAAACGAAAUGGAAAUCAUGAGGGAUAUCAAAUAUUUCUGUUCAGAGGCUUUAUUUGGAAACUUCAGAAAUGGGAUUGAUUAACUAUACCUUAACAAUUUCAGGUAAAAAAGUCAAGAUGCCAAUGUUUUUUGAGUCCCACUUUUUCAUCCUUAUUCUACCAUGUUUAUGGAACUUCUGUAGGUUAGGUUCUACCCGCUCUAUCCUGAAGUUCUUGC